AUUGAACGCUGGCGGCAGGCCUAACACAUGCAAGUCGAGCGAGCGGCGGACGGGUGAGUAAUGUCUGGGAAACUGCCUGAUGGAGGGGGAUAACUACUGGAAACGGUAGUUAAUACCGCAUACCAUCGGAUGUGCCCAGAUGGGAUUGGCUAGUAGGUGGGGUAAAGGCUCACCUAGGCGACGAUCCCUAGCUGUUCUGAGAGGAUGACCAGCCAAACGGGAAAUGAGACACGGUCAAAACUCCUACGGGAGGCAGCAGUGGGGAAUAUUGCACAAAGGGCGCAAGCCGGAUGCAGCCAUGCCGCGUGUAUGAAGAAGGCCUUCGGGUUGUAAAGUACUGUCAGCGGGGAGGCGUUACCCGCAGAAGAAGCACCGGCUAACUCCGUGCCAGCAGCCGCGGUAAUUC
rnacentral:rRNA from 1 species